UGGGGAAUAUUGCACAAUGGGCGAAAGCCUGAUGCAGCAACGCCGCGUGAGUGAUGAAGGUCUUCGGAUUGUAAAGCUCUGUCUUUUGGGACGAUAAUGACGGUACCAAAGGAGGAAGCCACGGCUAACUACGUGCCAGCAGCCGCGGUAAUACGUAGGUGGCGAGCGUUGUCCGGAUUUACUGGGCGUAAAGGGUGCGUAGGCGGAUGUUUAAGUGAGAUGUGAAAUACCCGGGCUUAACUUGGGUGCCGCAUUUCAAACUGGAUAUCUAGAGUGCAGGAGAGGAGAAUGGAAUUCCUAGUGUAGCGGUGAAAUGCGUAGAGAUUAGGAAGAACACCAGUGGCGAAGGCGAUUCUCUGGACUGUAACUGACGCUGAGGCACGAAAGCGUGGGUAGCAAACAGGAUUAGAUACCCUGGUAGUCCACGCCGUAAACGAUGAGUACUAGGUGUAGGAGGUAUCGACCCCUUCUGUGCCGCAGUAAAACACAUUAAGUACUCCGCCUGGGAAGUACGAUCGCAAGAUUAAAACUCU
rnacentral:rRNA from 1 species